rnacentral:rRNA from 1 species
GACGAACGCUGGCGGCGUGCCUAAUACAUGCAAGUCGAGCGAUGAAGGUUGGUACUUGUUCCGACUGGAUGAGCAGCGAACGGGUGAGUAACGCGUGGGGAACCUGCCUUUAAGAGGGGGACAACAUUUGGAAACCAAUGCUAAUACCGCAUAAUAAUUUUAAACACAAGUUUUAAGAUUGAAAGAUGCAAUUGCAUUACUCAAUGGUGAUCCCUCGUUCGAUUAGUCAGUUGGUGAGGUAAAGGCUCAACAAGGCGAUCAUACAUAGCCCAACUUGGAGGGUGGUCGGCCACAUUGGGACUGAGACCAGGCCCAAGCUCCCACGGGAAGGCGCAGUAGGGAAUCUUCGGCAAUGGACGAAAGUCUGGCCGGAGAACGCCGGGUGAGUGGAGAAAGUUUUCGGAUCGUAAAACUCUGUUGGUAGAGAAGAACGUUGGUGGGAGUGAAAAGCGCAUCAAGUGACGGUAACUACCCAGAAAGGGACGGCUAACUACGUG